UAUAUACCUAACGGGAUGUAAUUUUAUAAGACUCAGGCACCGGCAAAUCUCGUGUUAAAAACAAAUUCAUUUAAAUGUUCGUCCGAUCCCGUGUACGGAAUUUGUUAUUUUGAGUGCGAAAUCGUGAAAAGGAGCAAUUUUAACAAGUCCAAACCAAUAACGGAGUUGAGACCAGGAGCAGCUACACAAUCGAGAACUAAGAACCCAUAUCAUUGAAGUAUAAAUAAGAAGCAACAGUCCCGAAGGUCGGUUGUCUGGGAUUCAAGCUACUCGAUAAAAAUUGAUAAAGCUGAUAGAAGAGCAUCUCGCUGCGCAAAUGGACAUCAGAUACAUUAAGGCGUAAUGGUACAAGAUCGUACACGAAAAUGAAGGCGAGAAAUUAUCACAUCGAAUAUCAUACAACGGCGUCUAAAGUCAUAUGAUCACGAUUUUAUUUGACAUACUACAUCUCGAAGAUCCCGUCUGUAGAGUAUAAUUUGCAGAAACAAAUAAAACAGGUGAAUGCACGCUCCUCUCUUCUGCACAUCCCCAAAACAUUACCUGAUUGAAGUACGGGCGAAGUUAUGGCUAGGUGGAAGGUGUGGUAUAGCUUGCGUCGUCGGGAGUUCACCACCAUGACUGGUACAGCGAUUUCCCAGAAAUUUGGAAGGAGCAGAUGUGGCCUAUUCUUUUACAGCCAAUAGCAGUAGAACUUGUUUCGUACAAUUUCAAUCUGACAUUUGACACUCACUCUGGUGUUUUAAAGGUAUGGUGAAGCCUGAUAAAUAAUGUAUUCGAAUUUGCCAAAAAGAAACGAUGAAAAAUCCACGACAUCGCAAAAUGAUUGUCGAGUUACAAAAAAAGGCAAAACCGAUGAUUAGUAAAAUCGAAAUAAAAACCCAGCUACCAGAAUGCAGAAAGGGGAUUUGUGCAUGUGGUAAUGGUAAGAUGUUCAUUUUUAUUAUUCCUAGAUGCACUAUACAUACACCAAGAUUGGCUCUUCUAUUUAAAAUAAUGCAUAAAUGCUAAUCUACCAGUAGUAUUAUCUAGUAUUCGAAAGAAGAUAGUUCAAUUCAACUUCAAUUGGGCCAUUAAACUAAAAAUACAG